CCAGAGUGACACUCGUAGAGAACGGCAAAAGCUGCAGCCUCAAACACACACACACGCGCACACACAUAGAACAGCAGAUCUUAACAGGAUACUGCAGUCAGUAACAGGCACAUGAGCACUGGAGGAAAUGGAGUGACAAGAAAAAGGAAGACACACAUCACACAGUGCCAUGUGUGCAGGACAGAGAAACAGACUGAGCGCUAUCAGCGGCGAUGGAGCGCGGAGGAAGAUUGCGAGCAUGCACAAGUCAAACAAAAGUGCCUCAGAUGACGAUUCAGGACGGACUUGCUAAAACUGAAUCACACACUCAUCCUGCUCUGCGCAGGCUUUUUUAGAUGUUCAACUCCACAUAAGUGACAGCUCUGUUCCCCAGCAGCCAUUAAGAGCACCGCUGGACUGACACUGCCACGACUCCUAUACGCCACCCGGCACAAUGUGACCACAAAAGGGAUCACUUUCAUGGCACUUUCUUGGCGUUCAAACUACUUUGAAGACCCCAUUUCCUUGGCAAAGCUGAAUCAGCCUUGAAAAAUGCAACACGGCUGAGUCAUACUUCCUCCUGGAUAUGACAGUGCUUCCUCCACAAACUGACCCCCUUUAAAAUGUUAAAGGGACGGAACAUGGAAGAAGUGAGCAGCCAGGCAAUGAGUCCACUCUGGUUUCAAACGUAAGAUGAAUAAACCUGGAAAUAAAACACAGGCUCGUUCAAAAUAAAUGACUCAGAAUGCAUGUGAUAUGGUCUUGAUUUGUCUGCUUAUAGCCUGUUGUACAUCAUAUACACUAACGUUCAAAUGUUUGGGGUCAGAUUGUUUUUAAAUACUUGUAUUUACAGCAAGAAUGCGUUAAAUUUAUCAAAAGUGACAGUAAAGACUUUUCCAUUGUUACAAAAAUAUAUAAAGUUCAAAUUUUCAUGUUUUAAACUUUAUUUUAAUCUAAAUAAGGGGGGGUAUCCCAUUUUCCACAAUUAAACAUGACACAAAAUAUCAAUAAAUAGGCCUACACGUACAACAAUUGAUAACACAUUCAUGUGUGAUAGACAGUGCAAGGGGAAUUCCACAGACUGAUGGAAAACCUGUUGCACUUCUGCAAAUACAGCGUCGAGAUGAACUAAACAAUCAUGUAAGUGUCGUUUGAGUAAUUAACUGUAAUAUAAAGCAAAGAAGGGAAAGUGCUGCCAACAAAACGUGUGUUGCACGAGUAAACAAACACAGUCCCCAUACGCCUGACAAACACACACCCUGGUCAAUCGGUACGUCAUUUCUGCAGGUGUCCGAAACAGGAUCUUUCCUCUCUGCUUUGUUGACACAUAACAGCACAGCCAUAAAAGACAACGGCAAUCGUCAGAUGAUGACGCCGGCGUAGGGCAUCAGCCACAGAUGGAUUGUCCCAAUGAUGUCAUUACAAGCCCUCAAACCCGGACUGAUUACUUAAUAAAUAAAUAAUGUAGAGAGAAAACAUUUAGUUUUCCACUGACAAGAACCUUGAACUCCACUCACUAAAGCUUAAAAGUCAUAAAGGAAUUCUGCUCCAAUUGAUUCAUCAUGAUCUCAGUGUAAAACUUUAAGCUUUCGUUUUCCUUGAACUCUAGAGACUCGAGGGGUAUUCUAAACCGAGUGAACAAGAAAUGACUGACUCAUACAGGGAGCAAUUAAGCGUUGUAGGAAGAGAGCGGACAAAUAUGGGCUCUCCUCUCACUCAUUGAAGGCAGAUCCGUCGAGAGCGUGUGGACCGGAUCAGGAGCGGUUGAAACCACACUGGAGCCCACAGGGACCCUGAAGGUGUUCUGUUUGUGUGCCAGCAUGGCCAUGCUGAUUCAUUCACUAUACCGCAACCCAAACCUUCCUACAAACCCCAGCAUUUAACUCUUGGCUGCAACUGUCACCCUAUCUGAUUCCUCUUAGCUGAAGCAACAACCCAGACAGACAUAACGGUUUUUAGAUCUGUUCUAAACAUAGCCUACUUAUAUUUAAAGUAUGAAUUUGAGUUGAAGUUGCUUUCAGACUGGGACAGUGUUUGUGCAUUCACUAAUUCAUUUUGUCCUGCAGUCUUUAUGAGGUUAUAGUUUUCAUAUCCCAAAUAUUUCAAAUCACUAAUAGGUUUUUGCUUCUAGUGGUUAUGUAUCAACUAAAUAGUUCAAAUCCCUUUUUAAAUUACAAUAUUUUUAUGAAUUCUGUCCUUCAAAAUUACAACGACAUCAUAAUUUACUUGGACUAAGAGACUGCACUCUGUUCGAGACAAGAAUGUUUUUCUAAAUGUCCGGUCGGGAAAGUUGUCUCAAAUGUUAUACUUUUUAUCAAUUGCAUUAAUAUUUGUUAAAUAAAGGUUUGGGAUUUCUGUGUAUUAUAUUUCUGUUUCAUUUUUGCUUUACUGUUAAGUUAGGCAACUUAACCCAGAUAGUAGGAUGAGGGAUGUUAUCACAAACGGUCUUUUUGUGUUUAAUGAAAUUAACUUUCCCCCCUGCGCAAUAGCAGUGGAAAAGUUCAACAGAAUACAGAAAUGGACUUGCUUUCAGGGCAUAGAGUAAAACGUGUGACAAGGCUAACCCUUUAUUGCCCUCUGAAUAUGAUUGCAACAGAAGCAUAAAUCUAUCGAAGGUAGCCUAGCCUAUAUAAGAGAGUCAAAAAAUCUGUAAUGUAUGGGGAUGUCAUAAACAAAUCCAUCUUUUACUUUUAUGCUAUAGCCAAACAUUUUAAGUGUGAGCUGCUUGAAAGUUUUCCAUCCUGUUAGAACUGACUUUUCAUCCAUAAAAACUUCCUGCCGGUUUACUCAUGAAUUAGAAAUGACACCUUAAAAAGUAAUGCAACUACAAAUUAAAUGAAGUUUAAGCCAUAUAGGUCUAGGCUAUUUUACCACAUUUAGGCUAUUAUUUCAAUGUAAAACAUAACGCAUCGUGCAUGAUUCUAAUUAUUGCUAAAAAAUAGCCUACUUAAAUUGCAUAAUCAUGAUGAAUAGGCUACUAAGUUUUUAAAGCUCUCAGCGACAAUUCGCAUGUGGCUCCUUGUUUGUAGGCUGAUACAGCUGUCUAAAUUGUCUAAAAUCAGUUGGAGUUGUGAACACCGCCAUCGCGUGGUUUUUAUGUCAAAAACCACAAUACUUACUUUACAGUGCCUCAGACAAAGGCAAAUAAAUUUAGAUACCUACUUAUUCUUAUUUUAGUUCCUACACAGAU